AUUCUGAGCAGAACGUAAGAAACGUGAGAAAUGUAUUGGUUUUACAAUGAUGUUUACUGGUUUUAUUUUUUGUGUACAAUUUUUCUACCACCAAUUUUGCUCUGCCACUUAAACAAUACAUGAAAUAAAGAUAAAAACAGGCAAAGGAAUUAUACAAAGAGAACUUCCUAAACGAGAUACUACAGGAAGCUGAAAAAGACCAUUCGCCAGGUAGUAUACAGAAUUUCUUCAAAAUCAUUACCAUGUUAUGGCCUAUACAUGUAACAUAAUCUAAUUUUAACUCUUUGUAUUCACGACAGUAGUGAAAAUAGUG